UGCAAGUCGAACGGUAACGCGCGGGACAACCUGGCGACGAGUGGCGAACGGGUGAGUAAUACAUCGGAACGUGCCCAGUAGUGGGGGAUAGCCCGGCGAAAGCCGGAUUAAUACCGCAUACGACCUACGGGUGAAAGCGGGGGAUCGCAAGACCUCGCGCUAUUGGAGCGGCCGAUGUCAGAUUAGCUAGUUGGUGGGGUAAAGGCCUACCAAGGCGACGAUCUGUAGCUGGUCUGAGAGGACGACCAGCCACACUGGGACUGAGACACGGCCCAGACUCCUACGGGAGGCAGCAGUGGGGAAUUUUGGACAAUGGGGGCAACCCUGAUCCAGCCAUGCCGCGUGCGGGAAGAAGGCCUUCGGGUUGUAAACCGCUUUUGUCGGGGAAGAAACGGUUUGCGCUAAUACCGCGGGCUAAUGACGGUACCCGAAGAAUAAGCCCCGGCUAAUUACGUGCCAGCAGCCGCGGUAAUACGUAGGGGUGCAAGCGUUAAUCGGAAUUACUGGGCGUAAAAGCGUGCGCAGGCGGCUUUGCAAGACAGAUGUGAAAUCCCCGGGCUCAACCUGGGAACUGCAUUUGUGACUGCAUGGCUGGAGUGCGGCAGAGGGGGAUGGAAUUCCGCGUGUAGCAGUGAAAUGCGUAGAUAUGCGGAGGAACACCGAUGGCGAAGGCAAUCCCCUGGGCCUGCACUGACGCUCAUGCACGAAAGCGUGGGGAGCAAACAGGAUUAGAUACCCUGGUAGUCCACGCCCUAAACGAUGUCAACUGGUUGUUGGACGGCUUGCUGUUCAGUAACGAAGCUAACGCGUGAAGUUGACCGCCUGGGGAGUACGGCCGCAAGGUUGAAACUCAAAGAAAUUGACGGGGACCCGCACAAGCGGUGGAUGAUGUGGUUUAAUUCGAUGCACCGCGAAAAACCUUACCUACCCUUGACAUGCCAGGAACUUGCCAAAAAUGGCUUGGUGCUCGAAAGAGAACCUGGACACAGGUGCUGCAUGGCCGUCGUCAGCUCGUGUCGUGAGAUGUUGGGUUAAGUCCCGCAACGAGCGCAACCCUUAUCAUUAGUUGCUACGCAAGGGCACUCUAAUGAGACUGCCGGUGACAAACCGGAGGAAGGUGGGGAUGACGUCAGGUCAUCAUGGCCCUUAUGGGUAGGGCUACACACGUCAUACAAUGGCCGGUACAGAGGGCUGCCAACCCGCGAGGGGGAGCUAAUCUCAGAAAACCGGUCGUAGUCCGGAUCGCAGUCUGCAACUCGACUGCGUGAAGUCGGAAUCGCUAGUAAUCGCGGAUCAGCUUGCCGCGGUGAAUACGUUCCCGGGUCUUGUACACACCGCCCGUCACACCAUGGGAGCGGGUUCUGCCAGAAGUAGUUAGCCUAACCGCAAGGAGGGCG
rnacentral:rRNA from 1 species